GAUGAACGCUGGCGGCGUGCCUAAUACAUGCAAGUCGAACGGGGAGUAGCAAUACUCUUAGUGGCGAACGGGUGAGUAACGCGUUGGUACCUGCCCCGAAGCGGGGGAUAACGGACCGAAAGGUCCGCUAAUACCCCAUGUGCUCGGUAACGAGUAAAGGUGAAAACCACUUUGGGAGGGGCCUGCGUCCCAUCAGCUAGUUGGUAAGGUAACGGCUUACCAAGGCGAUGACGGGUAGGGGACCUGAGAGGGUGGCCCCCCACAAUGGAACUGAAACACGGCCCAUACACCUACGGGUGGCAGCAGUAGGGAAUAUUGGUAGUGGGCGCAAGCCUGAACCAGCAACGCCGCGUGUGCGAUGACGGCCUUCGGGUUGUAAAGCACUUUUGACUGGGACGAGGAAGGACGGUACCGGUCGAAUCAGCCUCGGCUAACUACGUG
rnacentral:rRNA from 1 species